rnacentral:rRNA from 1 species
AGGACGAACGCUGGCGGCGUGCUUAACACAUGCAAGUCGGACGGAAAGGCCCGCUUGCGGGUACUCGAGUGGCGAACGGGUGAGUAACACGUGGGCAACCUGCCCUCAGCUCUGGGAUAACUCCGGGAAACCGGUGCUAAUACUGGAUAUCGACUUCUGCCUCGCAUGGGGGUGUUGUUGAAAGUUUUUCGGCUGGGGAUGGGCCCGCGGCCUAUCAGCUUGUUGGUGGGGUGAUGGCCUACCAAGGCGACGACGGGUAGCCGGCCUGAGAGGGCGACCGGCCACACUGGGACUGAGACACGGCCCAGACUCCCUACGGGAGGCAGCAGUGGGGAAUAUUGCGCAAUGGGCGGAAGCCUGACGCAGCGACGCCGCGUGAGGGAUGACGGCCGUUCGGGUUGUAAACCUCUUCAGGCUCUGACGAAGACGAGAGUGACGGUAGAGCAGAAGAGACGACCGGACCAACGUACGUCGACGACACGACGCCG